AUAUUUAGCCGCGACUAUUCGUAGGUCGCCUCUUAAGUGGCUGAAAUUUUCAAUCCCACUAAAUUAAAAUUUUGGCUCCACAUUUACUGUGGCGACUUUUGUGAAGUCGCCGUGUAUUGUAGCAACUGGGUCGCUCCUAUUUCCCUUAAAUAGCAAAAGGGAAAUAAUUACUAGUAAAUAAAGACUAAAAUCAGUAUAGAGAAAGAAGAAGUGAAACUCUUAUCUCGAACACAUCCAGCCGAUGUGAAGAACAGAGAAGCGCCCGAAAUCAGUCGUUUCAGCUAGAAAUCCCAAAUCCAAACCUAAAUCGGCCCUCUCUAGCUAGAAAUUUAUCCAAAUAAUAGAAAUCCCAAAUGGGAAUCUUUCCCAAAUUGAAAUCCCUCAAAUCAAAAUGUGUAUUUGAUUGGGUGUUUAUGAUACUUGCCACAAACUUCAUUUUGAAGCUAAAUCUUAAGAUUGGAAUCUGGUUUGACGAGUUUUGGUCAUUUCCAUUUUUGUAGGUGAGUUUUGGUCAUUUCCAUUUUUGUAGCUCCGAUUGGAUUUACCUUUUGUAGGUGAGUUUUGGUUUUAAUUUUUCUGUUGAUUUCUGGGUCUUCUUUUUCCUAAUUGAUUGGAUAAUUUUUUUCAAGUGUUGUUACUUUUUAGUAGUUGGAUUUUUAAAAUCAUGUCCUUGUUUUCAAAUUUGCAUAUUUCUUGUCAAAUGCAACUGAUCGGUCACAUUUCAUUCUAAAAGAACUUUUGAUCGCAUACAUAUAGGUCAUUUGAAAGAUGUUUGUGCAAUUGUAGGUAUGGUAGUGAAAUAUGUAGCAUAUUCUUUACUGAGAUUUAUUGCAAAUUCAUUUGUAUCUUAUGAAGCAUUUUCAUGAAAGAAAAUGAAUAUGAAUAAUUCUUUAAUAGUGCCCUGUUUUUUUCCUGUGAUGCAAUUAGUAAUGUUGUUUCAUUAGGAAGUCAUCAUUAGCAAAAAGCUCUCAUUAUACCUUUCAUUUAUCUCAUUAUACCUUUCAUUACUUUAAUCUUUAUGGUUGGAUAGGAAAGCAUUCUUUUAGUUUCUUUAUUCUAAUAACUGUAAAUAUAAGAAUGCUUUGUACCAUGGAUUUAUUGAAAGGGUCCUCCUUUACAGCCUGUUGCUAUCUCGUGGGAGUUCUUGGCCAUCAAUUUGUCCGUUUAUGUCCGUAGCUAUCUUUGUUAUGUCUCUUGUGUCCAAUUAUAGAUAUUUUUCCAGUAGCUAUCUUUGUUAUGUCUGUUGUGUCCAAUUAUAGCUAUUUUUCCAGUAGCUAUCUUUGUUAUUAAAGCUUCUGCAACACUGUCCUUGCGGUAUUGAUUUCUCUAUUUCAUGCAACGCCCAUUUAACUGUCUCUAUCAAUCUUAUACGUUUUUAGUUAUCUGUAAAUUGAAGAAGUUUCAAUCAUUAUUUUGAUGCAUGAUUUCUAUGUAUAGUUUCUUGAAAGGGCAAAGAAUAGAAAGACAGGAAAGUUCUAAAGAAAGCUACUGUGAUUGUUUCCUUCUUAUAUGACCUUUAUAUAUAGCUUGACACGAAGUUCAAAAGAAAGCUAUUGUGAUUGUUUCCUUCUUAUAUGACCUUUAUAUAUAGAAUAAGGCUGUACCAAUAACGGUUCCGAACCGGAACCGUGAUCGGAACCGCGGUUCUGGCGGUUACGCGGUUCUAAACGGUUCCGGUUAUACGAUUCCGGUUCCGCGGUUCCGGGCCGGUUCCACCCUUUAGAACCCUGGAACCGGA
rnacentral:lncRNA from 1 species